CUGUGAGGAAUGGAAUGUUCCGACUCCUUAAAGGGCCGGGCCGCAGGCGCGGCGACCUUUCCGUUAUCGUGAUGAUGAGGGGCCGCCGCUGCCGUCUCCGGAGCCUGAGGUCCCCGAAGGCCGGGCCCCCGCUCCCCGGACCCGGCGUGGGGGCUGCGCCGACCCCGGAGGACUGGGUGAGUUCGGCCCCGGGGGGAGGUUGGGAGUGGGACCGCGAGGAGGCCGUGCCCGACUGUGCUGAUGAUCCUGGGGUUAGGAAGAGCCGUCAGAAGCGAUGCCUGACGACUUCGAUGCGUGUCUGACCGCUGUCGCCGGAGCCUCAACGGUCCGGUUGGACGUCGCUGCCACCACCUGCCCUUAACGCGUGUCACCCUCCGUGUUCCAGGUGGCAGAACCCUCGCAGCGCCUUCAGGCCGGGAGUGGCCUCCCACCCUGAGGGUGCAGAUGGGUGUGGGGUCGGCAGUGUGUGAUCAGAUCAGCAGCAGAGCGUUCGAGGGAUGAGCACUGGCCUGCCUUGAGGUUUUGUGUGCUGAGGUGCUCAAGAAUGGUGGUCUGCGGUGUGGAGUUUGAAAGCUGGAGGCGGCAGCCCUUUAGCUUGAGGAGAGGCUAUUUUCCCAGAGAAAGGUCAGCCAUGCUGCAGCAGGGGAAGAACUUGAAGUUUCGAGGACCAGUGGUCACCAUACCAUCAGUUUGGACUGAAAACCCAGGCUUCGACAGUGGGUGUGGAAACAAUGCUUAACUUGUGUUGAGGUUCCGAGGCCAUUCUCUUACCAGCAGAGCCAACAAACGUGUUUGGCAAACUUGCUAGGAUACUACGCUAGGAUAGGCACUGUUGGUGUCAUUGAAUUCAUGAGCUUUCUAGUAAUGUAUUGUGUUGUAUUUUUAGCUCCCCUGUCCAAAGAGAGCUGCUAUACCUGAGAUCGGAAGAG